rnacentral:snRNA from 1 species
GUAUCAGCGACACAUAUACAAAAAUUGGAAAGAUACAGAGAAGAUUAGCAUGACCCUGCACAAGGUUGACAAGUGAAUUUGUAAAGUGUUUCAUAUUUUU